AGGUGCUUCUUUUUAUUCGUGUUUGGUGAAAUGUUUAUGACAGCUUAACUUGCUACUUUCUUGCCCGCUUCCGCUGCACGCCCGAUCCUCACAAACUCUGUUCCUUUGUGCUCUAUAAAAUUGGAGGCUCUACAUCCAGCAGUCUCCCCCUUCCCUUUGCAACCAACCAUUCUUUCUCUCUUCACUGCCAUGGCUUACAGCGGGAGCGGGAGCAGCAGCCCGCCCUGCACAUCGUGCAAGCUGCGGCGGCGGCGGUGCACGCAGGACGGCAGGAGUGCGUAUUCGCGCCAUACUUCCCUCCCAAUCGAGGAGGGAGGACGAGGACCCACACAUGUUCGUCACAGUCCACAGUGUCUUCGGCGCCAGCAAUGUCUGCAUGAUGCUGCAGGAGCGGACGUGGUGAGCAGCCUACCUGGUGUACCAGGCGAACUCGCGCACGAGGGACCCCGUCUACGGCUAUGCGUGGGCGCCAUCUCCUACCUCCAGCAGCAGGUCUCCCAUCCCAUCUCGCCCUCGCCAAGGCCCAGAUCAUCAUCUGCGUCCAGAUGCAGCAAGACGACGGUAACACACAGUCCGCUUCAGCUGCUGUCGCCGUUGCCGCGCAAAGCAACAACAACUUCUUCAUCACCACCACCACCACCGUUUUUUUUUGUAUUUUAGCUCUUUUAUUGAAAAAUAUUCACAUUUAGAUCUUUAAAUAAAUUAAUCUCAUUUUUGGACCUUUUUCUCGGCGCUAUAGGUUGUGACGCCGAGACAACACGACUCGGCGCCAUAGAUUUUGGCGGCGAGGUGUGUAAUCUAAUAGUGACGAGAGGCUGACAUAGCACCGACAUGGAGCGUCAUUAUUCAUGGCGCCGAGCUCCUACUAACUUUGUCAACUCCUGGCAUGCAUGCAUGCGCUGGUUGGCCCCUGCCCGCCCAGUAGAGUUCGUGCGGUCGCAGGCUAGCUCAUUUUUUAUUUACCCUCUAGGUAGCAAGCUAUAGCUAGAGAAGCUAUUGUACUUAAGUGUAGCCUAUGUAUAGGCGCCAAGCUAUAGCUAGAGAAGCUAUUGUACUCAAGUGCAGCCUAUGUAGAGGCGCAUGGAUGCAGUAGUGUAUAGGCGUUCACAGUCUAAUAAAAUAGAUAUAGGUGCAUGCAUGCAAUAGUGUAGUGGUACCAGCAUGCAUAGGCGCUUGAGGAUGCAUGCAAAUGCAAGCCUAGGAACACGGUCCCUGUGCAUGCCCAUGCCGUGUGAGGAGGAAGCACUAUGCGCUUUAGGAUGCAUGCAUGCCCAUGACCUGUGAGGAGCAGGAAGCACGGGAGAUGUACAAACAGAACACGGCAAUCUGCCCUGCGAGGAGGAGUAUUGCUCUAUGCCUUCAGCCGCUGCAAGAUGUACGUGCCAACACGGUCAACAUAUACUGCACUAUAUGGGCGGCGGGCAGGGGCAGCUGGUCUCAGCGCAUGCAUGCAUGCCUUGCCACAAACGAACAAAAGUAGUAGGAGGUCAGCGUCAUGAAUCAUGGCGCCGAGCUCGACCACGUCGAUGUCAUGUUAGGCUCCUGUUGCCAGCAGAUUACACGCCUCGGCGUUAAGAUCUGUUACCUCGGUGCCACAGUCUAUGGCGCUGAGCAAAGAGUCCAAAAAUAAGAUUAAGUUAUUUAAGAGUUUAAACGUAAAUAUUGUUCAAUAAAAGGGUUAAAAUACAAAAAAUUUGGACCACCACCAGCAGAAGAUGGAAUGCGAGGUUUAUGGUGGCAGCAGCCUGCCCGUGCAGAAUGGCCUGAUGACGAACACGUUGGACAGCACCGGUGCGGUUCAUCAGCAGCAGAUGUUGGGCAGCUUUGGGAACACUGCAACUUGGGUGGAGUUCUUUGUGUCGCGUCUUGAACUAAGGGUGUGUUUGGUUGCGGGACAGACAGGACAGGGACGUCUCCUGUUGUCCUCUCUCGUCCCUCCAAUUUUGAGAUAUAACUGGGGACGACACUGGAAUAGUCUUGUCUUAACUCUGAACUAAACAACCUUAUUUGAAGGAUCGUCUUAUCCCGUCUCGUCCUGUCAUUGCAACCAAACGCACCCUAAGAGUCGCAAUAUCAUCGUGUUAAUUAACGUUCAAUCAAGUGCGAACGAGCCAUUUCAGUGAUCUACCGGAUCAAUAAUUGACGACGGGUUAAGGUGA